GACGAACGCUGGCGGCGUGCUUAACACAUGCAAGUCGAGCGAUGAAGUUCCUUCGGGAACGGAUUAGCGGCGGACGGGUGAGUAACACGUGGGUAACCUGCCUCAUAGAGGGGAAUAGCCUUCCAAAAGGAAGAUUAAUACCGCAUAAGAUUGUAGUACCGCCUGGUACAGCAAGUAAAGGAGUAAUCCGCUAUGAUAUGGACCCGCGUCGCAUUAGCUAGUUGGUGAGGUAACGGCUCACCAAGGCGACGAUGCGUAGCCGACCUGAGAGGGUGAUCGGCCACAUUGGGACUGAGACACGGCCCAGACUCCUACGGGAGGCAGCAGGGGGGAAUAUUGCACAAUGGGGGAAACCCUGAUGCAGCAACGCCGCGUGAGUGAUGACGGUCUUCGGAUUGUAAAACUCUGUCUUCAGGGACGAUAAUGACGGUACCUGAGGAGGAAGCCACGGCUAACUACGUGCCAGCCGCCGCCGUAAAAC
rnacentral:rRNA from 1 species